rnacentral:rRNA from 1 species
GACGAACGCUGGCGGCGUGCUUAACACAUGCAAGUCGAACGGAAAGGCCCUGCUUUUGUGGGGUGCUCGAGUGGCGAACGGGUGAGUAACACGUGAGUAACCUGCCCUUGACUUUGGGAUAACUUCAGGAAACUGGGGCUAAUACCGGAUAGGAGCUCCUGCUGCAUGGUGGGGGUUGGAAAGUUUCGGCGGUUGGGGAUGGACUCGCGGCUUAUCAGCUUGUUGGUGGGGUAGUGGCUUACCAAGGCUUUGACGGGUAGCCGGCCUGGGAGGGUGACCGGCCACAUUGGGCCUGAGAUGCGGCCCAGACUCAUAAGGGAGGCAGGAGUGGGGAAUAUUGCACAAUGGGCGGAAGCCUGAUGCAGCAACGCCGCGUGCGGGAUGACGGCCUUCGGGUUGUAAACCGCUUUCGCCUGUGACGAAGCGUGAGUGACGGUAAUGGGUAAAGAAGCACCGGCUAACUACGU